rnacentral:rRNA from 4 species
ACGAACGCUGGCGGCGUGCUUAACACAUGCAAGUCGAACGAUGAAGCCUUCGGGUGGAUUAGUGGCGAACGGGUGAGUAACACGUGGGCAAUCUGCCCUUCACUCUGGGACAAGCCCUGGAAACGGGGUCUAAUACCGGAUAACACUUACCUCCUCCUGGGGGUGGGUUAAAAGCUCCGGCGGUGAAGGAUGAGCCCGCGGCCUAUCAGCUUGUUGGUGGGGUAAUGGCCUACCAAGGCGACGACGGGUAGCCG